ACGCAGGAGACGGAGAAAAGCUAGAGAGAGAGAGAGAGAGACAGGCAGACAGAGAGGAAGGACGUGAGAGAUAGAGAGAUGACUGAGAUCUCACAUCGGAGAUCGCUACGGUUCUUAUUGUUACUGUCCUUAAUUUCUGUACAAUUUCUCUUAGGCUUUUCUGAUGAUUCAAAGUCCAAAAAUGAGACGAAAACUGAUGCUCAUUCUUCUUCAAGUAGCAUGAGUGGAUCUAUAGUGGUCAUAUUAUGCAUUGCGGUUGCAGCAGUUGUGGGCUUGUCAUUUUUCCUUUUCAGGUUAUGGCAAAAGAAGAAACGAGAAGAGCAGUAUGCUCGUCUAUUGAAGCUGUUUGAAGAAGAUGAUGAGCUUGAGCUUGAACUUGGUCUUCGUGACUGAGCUGGUUGAUAUGAUGGAGGUUUUAAUGGCAAUUAAUUGUAGAUGAUGGGGAAGGCUGAGUAGCAGUAGUAAGCCAAAAGUAGAACAUGAGCAGCAGAUGGCAGUGCUACUACAGACUGAAAUUUGUAUUUGAUAUCAACACAAAAAGAAGAAAAAGUUAGCCUUGUUGCAUUCUUCUUCCCCUUGUUUGGUAUAUUCAUUCUCAUCUCUUACUGACCAUAAAUGUUUGUAAGCUUAGUUCUUCCUAUUCAAAUGUAUUAUUUGGAAAGUGUAAUAUACAUGUUAGGCACCCUAUUUAACACUUGUACCUUUAGUUUCGUAUCUCUUAAACCGGUGUCUUGUUCAAUACAUAAUAAAUCUAGUGUUGUUUGA